rnacentral:rRNA from 1 species
UACGAAGGGGGCUAGCGUUGCUCGGAAUCACUGGGCGUAAAGGGUGCGUAGGCGGUUCGGCAAGUCGGGUGUGACAACUCCAGGCUCAACCUGGAGAGGUCACUCGAUACUGCUGUGACUAGAGUCCGGUAGGGGAGCGUGGAAUUCCCGGUGUAGCGGUGAAAUGCGCAGAUAUCGGGAGGAACACCAGUGGCGAAGGCGGCGCUCUGGGCCGGAACUGACGCUGAGGAGCGAAAGCGUGGGUAGCAAACAGG